AUAGCAUGUUUUUGGCCCAGAGGAGCCUCUGCUCUCUUAGCGGUAGAGCAAAAUUCCUGAAGACAAUUUCUUCUUCCAAAAUCCUCGGAUUCUCUACUUCUGCUAAAAUGUCAUUGAAAUUCACAAAUGCAAAACGGAUUGAAGGACUUGAUAGUAAUAUGUGGAUUGAAUUUACCAAAUUGGCUGCAGACCCUUCUGUUGUGAAUCUUGGCCAAGGCUUUCCAGAUAUAUCUCCUCCUAUAUAUGUAAAAGAAGAAUUAUCAAAGAUUGCAGCAAUCGAUAGCCUGAAUCAGUAUACACGAGGCUUUGGCCAUCCGUCACUUGUGAAAGCUCUGUCCUAUCUGUAUGAAAAGCUUUAUCAAAAGCAAAUUGAUUCAAAUAAAGAAAUCCUUGUGACAGUAGGAGCAUAUGGAUCUCUUUUUAACACCAUUCAAGCAUUAAUUGAUGAGGGAGAUGAAUAUAAUGCAUGUACAGUAAAGUUCACAAAUCUUAAAUGUACAGCUGGAUAAAUUACUGUGUAAAUUUCUGUGCAACUACAACCAGACAAAGAUAUAAUACAUUUCCAGUACCCAGAAAGCUCCUUUGUUCCUCUUCAUAGUCUAUAUUCUCCCAGAGGUCAUACUAAUAGUGCCUUUCUAUGACUGCUAUGAGCCCAUGGUGAGAAUGGCUGGAGCAACACCUGUUUUUAUUCCCCUGAGAUCUAAGCCUGUUUAUGGAAAAAGAUGGUCUAGUUCUGACUGGACAUUAGAUCCUCAAGAACUGGAAAGUAAAUUUAAUUCCAAAACCAAAGCUAUUAUACUAAAUACUCCACAUAACCCACUCGGCAAGGUGUAUAACAAAGAGGAACUGCAAGUAAUUGCUGACCUUUGCAUCAAAUAUGACACACUGUGCAUCAGCGAUGAGGUUUAUGAAUGGCUUGUAUAUUCUGGAAAUAAGCACUUAAAAAUAGCUACUUUUCCAGGUAUGUGGGAGAGAACAAUAACAAUAGGAAGUGCUGGAAAGACUUUCAGUGUAACUGGCUGGAAGCUUGGCUGGUCCAUUGGUCCAAAUCAUUUGAUAAAACAUUUACAGACAGUUCAACAAAACACGAUUUAUACUUGUGCAACUCCUUUACAGGAAGCCUUGGCUCAAGCUUUCUGGAUUGACAUCAAGCGCAUGGAUGACCCAGAAUGUUACUUUAAUUCUUUGCCAAAAGAGUUAGAAGUAAAAAGAGAUCGGAUGGUACGUUUACUUGAAAGUGUUGGCCUAAAACCCAUAGUUCCUGAUGGAGGAUACUUCAUCAUCGCUGAUGUGUCUUUGCUAGAUCCAGACCUCUCUGAUAUGAAGAAUAAUGAGCCUUAUGACUAUAAGUUUGUGAAAUGGAUGACUAAACAUAAGAAACUAUCAGCCAUCCCCGUUUCAGCAUUCUGUAACUCAGAGACUAAAUCACAGUUUGAGAAGUUUGUGCGAUUUUGCUUCAUUAAAAAAGACAGCACACUAGAUGCUGCUGAAGAAAUCAUCAAGGCAUGGAGUGUACAGAAGUCUUGAUUUGUGCAGAAUGGAUUAAUGUUUCUGUUAGAUGACCUAGUAUGGAAUUGUUACUUAGUGCUGCCACCUGCUGGAUGUUAGGAGGUAUUUCAGUACAACUGGAAUUUAAAUAUUUCCAUUGUUUUUCCAAAGCGGUUAACCCAACUCCUAACAAUAUUCAGGGGAUCUGACCAUUUUUUUCCAGUUGAAAUGUAUUAACACACCUUCCACAAUCAUUUUAUAAGAGUCAGCAUAACAUAGUGGAUAAGAACUGUGAGAUGUUUAACCUCUCAGUAACUCGGUUCUCUCAUUAUAAAUCUCUCAGAAUAAAAUCAGUACCUGUUUCAUAUGAAGGUCGUUUCUGAGAAUUAAAUGGACUAAUGUAUGCAAAAAGCCUGGCAAACAAUAAACACUCAUCUGACUUUAGCCGGU
rnacentral:sRNA from 1 species